AUGUGGUUCGUGAGCAAUGGGCUAAGUUUUUUACAACCGAGUAUUUAUUUACUUAGUUUGUUUAGACACAAAGAUGGAAGCGUUUAUAUCUUCAUGGAUUUGGUAAAGUUCUUUAAUUUUUCCAUAAUUACAAGUCUGCUGGAUUUGCUAAUUUAUUGCUUUGAAUACUAAUCUGUUGGUCUUGCUGCUGCUGUGAAUACUGAUCUGCUGGUCUUGCUACUGAAUACUAAUAUGCUGGUCUUGCUGCUGCUGUUGUGAUUUACUGAUAUGUUGCUAAUUUAUUGCUUUGAAUACUAAUCUGCUGGUCUUGCUGCUGCUGUGAAUACUAAUAUGCUGCUGUGAAUAAUUGACCUUAUCAUAAAUCUAUUGAUGUGUAUGAAUAUUAUGCUACAAGCCGUUUUUGAGUCUGACAUGCAAAGGCCAUUUAAUACAAGUUGUGUUCAGGAAAUUCCAAAUGUUUGAACUCUGAAAUCAAUAUAUAGGAUAGGUGAAGAACUGAGAGCAGUGAAGAGAUUGAUGAGAAUGUUUUUUCUAACCCAUUUUAUCUGAAAGAAACUCCCCUUGUUCUGGAUUGAGAAUGUGUAAAGCCCUAGCUUUACUCUCUCCUGCAGACACAAGAACCACAGUAGCAACACCCAAAUACAAGGCUAAACAACGAGACCAAGAACAAAACAAAUAGGAGAAGGGGAAUUCGGUUGAUUGGCUCUUUAACUCAGAUCAGAACUGUGCAGUUCUGUGCACUGAUCUGCGUGCCUCAACUUUGAACAAAACAAAUAGGAGAAGGGGAAUUCGAUUGAUUAGGUGACAAGUCUCUUUAACUCUCUAUAAUUUUUUGAAUAACUUUCUCUUUCCUCUCCACCUUUACUUAUACUACUUGGCUGUUUACAACCAUUAAUGACUGCUACAAUUCUGCUUGUCAGGUAGUGCCGUAGUGGUAACGGUCUUUAGAAUUUCACUUUUGCUCAGUUGAAUUCCAAUUAGUUCAGUUUAACUUAACACUAAUAUAGUCCAUUUUUCGAUAAGUUCAGGUUGGCCUCAGCUGAUCUUAAGAUAUACUGUCGGUGAUCUAUGCCCACGUAUUGUGGUGCUAACUAUAGCAGAUUGGUAAACUAUGGCAACAAAGCAAGGAAAAAAAUAUUAUCAUUUUGUGUGCUAACUGUUUCCUUCGUACUUGCUUGGUCCGUCAUUGUGUUGAAUUGUUUUAUCUGUUUGAAUUUGCAAAAUUGUAGAAAUCAAAUUAUAUGGCAGCCUCCUCCUGUUUUCUUUCUUUUUUCUAAUUUAUUUGUUUAUUGAGGUGGUUAAAACAUCACAGUUUUUGUUGUUUUUACAGCUUGUUUUGAGUACUGGAAGCGGUGUUAAUGGUUUCACUCUAGAUCCAUCUCCUUGGAGAGUAUAUUUUAACUCAUCCAGACAUCAAGGGAUCGAGUCGAUUGGAAGAAAUUCAACACUGCCUUAAUUAAGGUUUAUAAUGCAUGAUCUAAAGUGAGCUAAGUGGCCGGAUUAGAGAAAUUUGUUAGACUAGCUCUCUAGCCUUUUGUCUUUAUUUGUUAAUAUUAGUUGUAAUUUGUUAGACUAGCUAGGUGUUUAAAAUUGCAAACGUACGUACUAUACGCUUGGGUUACUAUAAAUGAAGUUAAUGUAAUGAUUUAUUUAUUAAAAAUAAGCAGAUUCA